rnacentral:rRNA from 1 species
GAUGAACGCUGGCGGCGUGCCUAAUACAUGCAAGUCGAGCGAACAGAUGAGGAGCUUGCUCCUCUGACGUUAGCGGCGGACGGGUGAGUAACACGUGGAUAACCUACCUAUAAGACUGGGAUAACUUCGGGAAACCGGAGCUAAUACCGGAUAAUAUAUUGAACCGCAUGGUUCAAUAGUGAAAGACGGUUUUGCUGUCACUUAUAGAUGGAUCCGCGCCGCAUUAGCUAGUUGGUAAGGUAACGGCUUACCAAGGCAACGAUGCGUAGCCGACCUGAGAGGGUGAUCGGCCACACUGGAACUGAGACACGGUCAAGACUCCUACGGGAGGCAGCAGUAGGGAAUCUUCCGCAAUGGGCGAAAGCAUGACGGAGCAACGCCGAGUGAGUGAUGAAGGUCUUCGGAUCGUAAAACUCUGUUAUUAGGGAAGAACAAAUGUGUAAGUAACUAUGCACGUCUUGACGGUACCUAAUCAGAAAGCCACGGCUAACUACGUG